CUGCAUUUCUAACUACCA
rnacentral:snRNA from 1 species